UACGUAGGGUGCGAGCGUUAAUCGGAAUUACUGGGCGUAAAGGGCGCGUAGGCGGCCUGCUAAGUCGAACGUGAAAUCCCCGAGCUCAACUCGGGAACUGCGUCCGAUACUGGAUGGCUUGAGUUCGGGAGAGGGAUGCGGAAUUCCAGGUGUAGCGGUGAAAUGCGUAGAUAUCUGGAGGAACACCGGUGGCGAAGGCGGCAUCCUGGACCGACACUGACGCUGAGGAGCGAAAGCCAGGGGAGCAAACGGGG
rnacentral:rRNA from 1 species